rnacentral:rRNA from 1 species
GUGAGGAAUAUUGCGCAAUGGGCGAAAGCCUGACGCAGCGACGCCGCGUGAGGGAAGAAGGCCUUAGGGUCGUAAACCUCUGUUGUGUGGGAAGAAGAGCGUGACGGUACCACACGAGGAAGCCACGGCUAACUACGUGCCAGCAGCCGCGGUAAUACGUAGGUGGCAAGCGUUGUCCGGAAUUAUUGGGCGUAAAGCGCGCGCAGGUGGGAUCUUAAGUCCAUUUUUAAAGUUCGGAGCUCAACUCCGUGAUGGGAUGGAAACUGGGAUUCUUGAGUACCGGAGAGGAAAGCGGAAUUCCCCGUGUAGCGGUGAAAUGCGUAGAUAUGGGGAGGAACACCAGUGGCGAAGGCGGCUUUCUGGACGGUGUCUGACACUGAGGCGCGAAAGCCAGGGGAGCGAACGGGAUUAGAUACCCUUGUAGUCC